AUUCCAGCUGAUCCUGCUGGCGAGUACUGCUAUCGAUAUUGGACUUAGCCAUGCAAGUCUAAAAGUCACAACCAUGAGUGACUCUGGCAGACGGCUCAGUAACACGUAGUCAAUCUGCCCUUUAGAGGAGCCAAACCCGGGAAACUGGGCCUAACACUCCAUAGACAACAUAUACUGGAAGGUUUUGUUGUUCAAAUAAACUGCUAUCAUGUAGGUAGUUUGCUAGAGGAUGAGACUGCGGUGGAUUAGGUAGUUGGCGGGGUA
rnacentral:rRNA from 1 species